GUGAAGGAUGGGCAUGCGUGAUAUUAGGUAGUUGGCGGGGCAACGGCCCACCAAGCCUACGAUAUCUAGGGGUUCUGAGAGGAAGCCCCCCCACAUUGGUACUGAGACACGGACCAAACUCCUACGGGAGGCAGCAGUGAGGAAUAUUGGUCAAUGGACGAGAGUCUGAACCAGCCAAGUCGCGUGAAGGAAGACGGAUUAUGGUUUGUAAACUUCUUUAGUGCGGGAACGUGUACCGCAAGAAUAAGCAUCGGCUAACUCCGUGCCAGCAGCCGCGGUAAUACGGAGGAUGCGAGCGUUAUCCGGAUUUAUUGGGUUUAAAGGGAGCGCAGGCUGCGAGGCAAGUCAGCGGUCAAAUGUCGGGGCUCAACCCCGGCCUGCCGUUGAAACUGUCCUGCUAGGUUCGAGUGAGGUAUGCGGAAUGCGUUGUGUAGCGGUGAAUGCAUAGAUAUGACGCAGAACUCCGAUUGCGAAGGCAGCAUACCAACUCGCGACUGACGCUGAGGCUCGAAAGCGUGGGUAUCGAACAGGAUUAGAUACCCUGGUAGUCCACGCAGUAAACGAUGAAUACUAACUGUUCGGGAGU
rnacentral:rRNA from 1 species